rnacentral:rRNA from 1 species
AUGAACGCUGGCGGCGUGCCUAAUACAUGCAAGUCGAGCGAACAGGCGAGGAGCUUGCUCCUCUGACGUUAGCGGCGGACGGGUGAGUAACACGUGGAUAACCUACCUAUAAGACUGGGAUAACUUCGGGAAACCGGAGCUAAUCCCGGUUAAUAUAUUUAACCGCUUGGUUCAAUAGUGAAAGACGGUUUUGCUGUCACUUAUAGAUGGAUCCGCGCCGCAUUAGCUAGUUGGUAAGGUAACGGCUUACCAAGGCAACGAUGCGUAGCCGACCUGAGAGGGUGAUCGGCCACACUGGAACUGAGACACGGUCCAGACUCCUACGGGAGGCAGCAGUAGGGAAUCUUCCGCAAUGGGCGAAAGCCUGACGGAGCAACGCCGCGUGAGUGAUGAAGGUCUUCGGAUCGUAAAACUCGGUUAUUAGGGAAGAACAAAUGUGUAAGUAACUAUGCACGUCUUGACGGUACCUAAUCAGAAAGCCACGGCUAACUACGUG